UUAGUUGUUGUUGUUGUUUUUUUUUUUGUUUUUUUUUUUAAGAGAUAGAUAAGCACGCUACCUGUUUCGUUUAUUUUAUUUAGAAAUAAACUUAGCUGAAAAUGUGAAUUAAUUAGGAUUCGAACUUGGUAUUUCGGGUAUCAAUCACCAAGUUCUUUACCACUUGUUCUAGAGAUGGUCAGCAGCAACUUUAGUUGUUGUUUACAUGCCAGAAGCGUAAUGCUUUGGCAAUUCAAAAGUAAAGUAAAGAUGCUUUACCAAAGAGCAAGCUAUAGAACCACACCGAAGGAUCGAUAAAGUAUGUAAUUGUAACCAUAUAGCAGUUGUAAUUAUAUAUGUAUAUAGAGUUGGACUGGGCUACUAUUAGUAGCAAAAUUCUAUUGUUGCUACCAGUUUUUUAGCUUUUGGAUCAACUCUUUUCAUUAUUUCUAACCAUUGGAUUAAAUACUAUAACCCAGUGGGGACCACUCAACCCUAGGGGGACCACUCAACUCUAACCGACUAAUAUCAUCCUGACUCUACAAUUUUUCAUCCAAAGGUUAAAAACUUGAUAGCAAAAAGAGCGUUUUACUAUUAAUAGUAUUACAGCCUAAUUCAAUAUAUAUAUAUAUAUAUAUAUAUAUAUAUAUGAGCUAGAAUACUCUCAAGAGUAAACGAGCCCGUUUACUCUCGAGUUGUUUUCGAUUAUAGAGCUUCCAAAUUGACGAUCGGCUCCGUUGAAUAUGAUUUAUACCACUUGAAGUGUUUAGAAAUCAAAUUUCAAAUCUUUUCGACAUCAUUUGCCUAAUGAUCAAAGGGUUUCAAAAUUUGUAAUUUUAAUGGUGGAUAAGAGACGUUUUCUCGUUUAACGGUGUAAAGAUAUCCAAAUCAAUUGAAUUUUUGUUAGAA
rnacentral:lncRNA from 1 species